CUUUGCAUAACGUCAACGAAGGGAUGUUUAUUUUUUAGCAUGAGAACGGGCUAGGGGAAAGAGGAAAGGAAGAAGAGAGGCGAGCGAGUAAGGUUUUAAGGAUGCUGGCUUACUCUAGGCUGACCAUUGAGUCGAUGGUAGUCAAACGAGAGGGAAAUCGAACGAGCAGGAGCUGACUCCGUGGAGGGUCGAGCUGAGCGUACACUACACCCGAACCUAGAACAGAAGGCGACGGUCGAACUUAGGUAGAAGUCGUACUCCUACCGCCGUCGCAACAGAAGGGGAUCGCGCGCUCGGUCUGCGUAGCAGCAGCAAGGGUCAGCUCCGUCGGUCUGUGUAGCAGCAGAAGGAGGUGUAGCCGUCGAAAGAAGCAGGAUGUCCCCCUACACCUUGGAGCUCACACGAGGGAUAUCUUCGUCGCGACGUUAUACUCUACUGUGGUGACGAUCAUGAUAGAAAGGAAGCCUUGUGUUGAAACGACACUAACGGAGGCAUCCACCUUUGCGUUGGAAAGCUACGUCCCUAGAACUUUCACGUAAAACUUGACUUUAUAAGAAGUUGUGUGCAGUAACGGACUAUACAUGCACAUGAACUCCGUGGAUAACUAGAAUAGCAAAAGAUAUAUGACCAAUAGGUAGAAGUGGAUGUCACCAUAAUGACAGUAUAAAAAAUCCCUUGAAAGAAUAUGUACACAACAGCUGGUACGGUGUACCAGGUACGUUGUACAUCAAGAGUUGGUGAUGUAUAGGAAUACCUAGUUGAUCAGAACUUAAAGUCACGUACAAUAGGAUAGAUGGAGACUACCAAGCCCCAUGAACACAAAGAAAAGGAAAGACAGUUCCUUAUACUGAUACACCCGUACACCCUCUAGGGAAAAAACCUUGAAAUAACACAUAUAUUGACGUUAAAACUUUAUUGGCAAUCAAUAAAAAGAUAUCCCUAUAUCAUUCUCCACACUAGUUCAUCAACCCAUAAUGAACGCUCACAAAAAGAUUUCAUAAUGGAAAGAGAAUACAGAGAGUGCUUGAGGAACUCGAAAUACACCUUGUGAACCAGUUGUUA
rnacentral:rRNA from 1 species